rnacentral:rRNA from 1 species
ACGCACGCCGGCGGCGUGCUUAACCCCUGCCAGUCGCACGGAAAGGCCCUGCUUUUGUGGGGUGCUCGAGUGGCGAACGGGUGAGUAACACGUGAGUAACCUGCCCUUGACUUUGGGAUAACUUCAGGAAACUGGGGCUAAUACCGGAUAGGAGCUCCUGCUGCAUGGUGGGGGUUGGAAAGUUUCGGCGGUUGGGGAUGGACUCGCGGCUUAUCAGCUUGUUGGUGGGGUAGUGGCUUACCAAGGCUUUGACGGGUAGCCGGCCUGAGAGGGUGACCGGCCACAUUGGGACUGAGAUACGGCCCAGACUCCUACGGGAGGCAGCAGUGGGGAAUAUUGCACAAUGGGCGGAAGCCUGAUGCAGCAACGCCGCGUGCGGGAUGACGGCCUUCGGGUUGUAAACCGCUUUCGCCUGUGACGAAGCGUGAGUGACGGUAAUGGGUAAAGAAGCACCGGCUAACUACGUG